rnacentral:tRNA from 1 species
GCCCGGUUAACUCAAUGGUAGAGUGUGCGGCUUUUAUUCACCCGGUUUCAUUCCAAUGGUGACCGCAAAGUUGGGGGUUCGAGCCCCCCAUCGGGCG